rnacentral:rRNA from 1 species
GCUGAACCUAAGCAUAUCAAUAAGCGGAGGAAAAGAAACUAACCAGGAUUCCCCUAGUAACGGCGAGUGAAGCGGGAAGAGCUCAAAUUUGUAAUCUGGCACCCUUUGGCUGUCCGAGUUGUAAUCUGGAGAAGUGUUUUCUGUGCUGGACCGUGUACAAGUCCCUUGGAACAGGGCGUCAUAGAGGGUGAGAAUCCCGUCUUCGACACGGACUCCCGGUGCUUUGUGAUGCGCUCUCGAAGAGUCGAGUUGUUUGGGAAUGCAGCUCAAAAUGGGUGGUAAAUUCCAUCUAAAGCUAAAUAUGGGCGAAAGACCGAUAGCGAACAAGUACCGUGAGGGAAAGAUGAAAAGCACUUUGGAAAGAGAGUUAAACAGUACGGAAAUUGUUGAAAGGGAAACGCUUGAAGUCAGUCGCGUCUCCCGGGACUCAGCCCUGCUUUUCUGCAGGGUGCAUUUCCUGGGACGACGGGCCAGCAUCGAUUUCAGUCGCUGGAGAAAGGCAAGGGGGAAUGUGGCACCUUUUUUGGUGUGUUAUAGCCCCCGGUUGUAUGCAGUGACAGGGAUCGAGGAUCGCAGCACGCCUCUAAUGGCCGGGGUUCGCCCACGUUAACGUGCUUAGGAUGCUGGCGUAAUGGCUUUAAGCGACCCGUCUUG